rnacentral:misc_RNA from 1 species
GGUGUGUGGUGAGUCAGCGGGUCGACGCUAAUCAUCGGUUUUCAUUUUGCGUGAAGAAGUUGUGCUCCGUCGCUGCCUUUAGCAGCGCGUUCGUGGAUCCCUUCACCCUUUGUUGGCCGACGAGGUACCACCGGAUUCUCUUUCUCACGGGGGCAUUUCUUGGUCUCGGCCCCCCCCCCCCCCCCCACCAAAUGACGAGUGCGCGUCUUUCUGUUUCGAUCUGUGCGCACUGAAUCGUGUUGCUGGCAUGUAUACUAUACUCAUGUAAACUAGCGAAGAAGAAAACCGAAGGCGUUUGGUGAUUCAGUGGGUGUUAGGGGCUCAAGGCAGUCGGCGUCGGUGCUCCUCUCGCCUCGCCUCUCUCUCGCUCUCGCGCAUUGCUCGCCGAUGCUCUCUUUUUCUGUUCAGCUUGAGCGCGCACUCUUGUCCUGGUGUGUGCCGUUUACGUCCAUUCCAAUCAGGCCCUCUGUCUCUUACACCCUCCUCCCCAACACGCACGACAUCCCUCGUACCUCAUGGCCUUUGCCCUAUGCUUGCAACAUGUAUCUAUAUGUUAUAGAUACAUGCGUCAUGCUGCAACGGACUGCGCGCUUGAAAGAUACAAAGAAGAGCGCAGCGACCUUUCUCAGUGUUGUCUCCCUUGUGCACGAUGUGGCGCGCGUCAUCGGCACGAAUGGUUCACACGGAGAUGAUUGCGGCAGCGCUUCCGCCUUUCAAGGAAAGAGAGGCAAAGACGGAGGUGCAAUGUAAGACGAGCGAACGUGUUAUUCGAUAUCGUUACCGCCGUUGUCUCUGCAGCCUCUCUCUCUUUUUCUUUCUCUCUCACAGAGCGUCGACUUGGUGAUGCGAUGAGCUCUUUCGCCUCUCCUCCGAAUCGCGCGGACUGCGUGAAGCGUUGGUGGCCCAUUUCGAUCACACGAAUGUGUACGCACGCACGCCGUCUUCCCCUCCUCAAAUCACCUCGCCUCACUCGUCCUCUUUGCCUUUUCUCUCUCUUUUUGUCUGCUGCCCUCCUCCCCCCGGUCACCACGGCCUGCCUACCUGCAUGUGCCUGUGCGCGAGUUGCCCCCCGCCCUUCCUUCCGCAACCAUCCUCCCAUCGCUUGCCAACGGAUGAGCAUCCAUCGCGCUUCAUAUAUAUAUAUAUAUACAUACAUACACACAUACACAUAUCUAUCUACAUAUGUGUGUAUACAUGAUCAG